GUCACAAUCUAUGGGGUCGUAGA
rnacentral:miRNA from 1 species